rnacentral:siRNA from 1 species
CAUAUUUCAUUAUCAUUGUCCC